AUGUAAUGUAAUGCCUACAAUGUUAAUGCACUAGAUUCCAUUAGAAAUAUGUGUCAAUCGCGCUUGGGAUAGAGUAGUUUUGGGAUGGGUGACCUCCUGGGAAGUCUUAGUGUUUUACAUG
rfam:Picea glauca, whole genome shotgun sequence.